rnacentral:rRNA from 1 species
CCUACGGGUGACAGCAGUGAGGAAUAUUGGUCAAUGGCCGUAAGGCUGAACCAGCCAAGUAGCGUGAGGGAAGACUGCCCUAUGGGUUGUAAACCUCUUUUAUGCGGGGAUAAAGGUGUCCACGCGUGGAUGUUUGCAGGUACCGCAUGAAUAAGGACCGGCUAAUUCCGUGCCAGCAGCCGCGGUAAUACGGAAGGUUCGGGUGUUUUCCGGAUUUAUUUGGUUUAAAGGGAGCGUAGGCCGGUCUUUAAGCGUGCCGGGAAAUUUUGUGGCUCAACCAUGAGCGUGCGGCGGGAACUGGGGACCUUGAGUGCGCGGAAGGCAGGCGGAAUUCGUGGUGUAGCGGUGAAAUGCAUAGAUAUCACGAAGAACCCCGAUUGCGAAGGCAGCAUGCCGGAGCGUUACUGACGCUGAAGCUCGAAAGCGCGGGUAUCGAACAGGAUUAGAUACCCCAGUAGUC